GAGUGCUGCUCUGGGGUGCUUUUCAAAAUCCAUGCGUCUCAUGAAUUAUGCUGCCAGAUCUAGGAGGAGCCAGUCCUCUUUGGAACUAGGUGAACUGGGCUAAUCAGAAACAGGCCCAUCUCAUCCGCCAGCCAGUUUGCUCCAGGGCCAGAGGAAAGCCGGGGCCUCUGGCUCCCACAUCCCAUGUGGCAACCAACCAUCAGGUUAUGCUUGGCUUUGCAACGAUCAGGAAAGGCCUCACGUCUGCCUAACUGCAAAACAAUUUGGUUGGCUUAUAAAUUGCUGCCUCUAUCAUGUGCUUCUGAAUUAAAAGGAACGGAUGGUUUUUAAAGGUUUAUCUGUUUCAUUAUUAAUGCGGAAUGACCUCCUGCUGACAAAUUUCGAUUUUCACACGGUUUCUUUGCUGAUGCAGUAUCUCUGCCACCCAUGCUCUAGGGCAGCGUGGAGCCACUUCAGAGCGUGCCUUUUGUGACCCGGCGCCCAGCAGGGUGUUCUUUUCUGAGUGCAAAGAGAGAAUCCACUGACCUCAUUUGCUUCCAUCCUGUGAACCUCUCAGUGGGUUUCAGAACACCCGGGUCUGAACAGAGAAGCUUCAGAAUACUUUGUCCGACUAGAGAACUUCUUUAUGGUGGGAGGAAAAAAUGUUGCCAGUCCCACUUCCCAGACACCUGGAAUUCAUGAAGUCUGAGGACUUCUUUCAUUUUACUUUCAACUAAAAGCUCUAGCACGAAACAGCAAAGGCUCACAGAACUAAAGAUCAGGAGGUGGCCCUGUGAGAGGGUAUUCGGCCUGGAUCCCUGGUGAAACUCCAUCAUUGAGCAGCAUAUCUACUUCAGAAAGCGUGGAAAGAAAAGAGCCUGGUGGGAAAAGUCUAUCAAGUGAUAAUGACGUGCCCUUAUGGAAAAAAUUCUGGGUUCAGAAACAAUAGAGAUACCAAACAAGAUAAGACUAAGCCACAGAGAUAUCUGAAAAGCUGCCAUCAAUCAAAGCUCUUUGUGAAGCUGGUUAGUGCAGGUUCCAUUGUUCUAAGGAGCAGGCAAAAGGAACAAAUAAAAUCCAGCUGUUUCUUCAUUCUUGCACCAGAAUUCAACCCAGCCAGCAAGACGGAGGGCCUCCCAAAUGCUGCGAUCUGCUCCGUGCUGCUCUGCUGGGCCGUCACUGCCCCCUGUGCGUUCCUGCGGGCGAGGUCUUCUCCCAGAAGCGAGACAAUGAACAGGACAGAAGUGAAUUCAUUGGCCAGACCCUCAAACUGUUGGUGAAGAGGAACGUUUCCUUGGAAUUAAGCUGCCGCUAAGUAAAGGUCAAGGCACGGGGCAGCUGGAUGUCCGUGUGGAUCCUGCAAAUGGAGAGGCUCUGCUGUGGAAACAGAAUGGAACUUAACCUCAGCUAAAACAGUGGUGGAGAGCAGAGUGAUUUUCUAAAUAAUUAAGUUUUUUCUUUUACAUACAUUAAGCCAUACACACAGCCUGAGGCACUGACAUUUUAAUUAUUUUAAUCAGUCUUUGAUGACCUCCUAGGGUUUGAGUUUUUUUGUUUUGUUUUUUUUUUUUUUUUCCAAUGGAGUCUGGCUCUGUAGCCCAGGCUGGAGUGCAAUGGCGCGAUCUCAGGAUCUCGGCUCACUGCAACCUCCACCUCCCGGGUUCAAGCGAUUCUCCUGCCACAGCCUCCCAAGUAGCUGGGCCUACAGGCACGCACCACCAUGCCCUGCUAAUUGUUUGUAUUUUUAGUAGAGACAGGGUUUCACCAUGUUAGCCAGGAUGGUCUUGAUCUCCUGACCUCAUGAUCGGCCCACCUCGGUUUGAGCUUUUUUGAGGAACCCAGUCAUGAGUUCCAACUGCUCAUCUUUGCCUGACCCUCUAGUCAAGGUCCUGCUGUGCUAGUUCUUUUUCCCCCUACAUUUUCCCCAGAAGACUCAGAGCCUACUGUGUAGCAGGCACUGCACCAGGCACUUUGCUAUGUUUCCUCUUUAAAUCUUCUCAGUAACCCUAUGAAGGAGGUCUCCUUUUACAGUAGAGAGAGCAGAGGUGCCAAGAGAUUAAGGAGGUUGCUUAAGGCCAAAGAGCAAGGACCUGGCAAACUUGAGAUGGCUCUUUGGAUCUGUACAUCUGUGCACUUGUCUUUGCAAAAAUGUUCAUUGGCCACCACCAAUUUUCUUACCUGACUAUAGGCCAAAGAAUGCACGUUUUUUAUAUUCUGCAUAAAGUUUACAUUCAAUUUCUUUUCCAAUUUUUUUUUAAAAGACCUUAGGGAGACAUCACAAAUUUUAUUUCUUUUACGUUUUUCUCUCAUCGAAUCUCUUUCUUUCCCUCUUUGACAGCUUUAUUGCAUAGGUUUAAGUAGUCUCACUACCCGCGAGAAUUUGAUAAGAAAUCAGAGAUAAUAAAUCUCAAAUUGAGAAAGCAUUCAUGGCCCAUUAGUCAUUUUCUAAGUAAAUAGUUACUCCUGGAAAUGCCAUCAUCCUGGAACCUACUUCUUCACAGAUGAGACCAUAUGAGCAAAUCCAUAAAAGCAUUUUUGGCCCUGAACACUCAGAGGAGAAGUAUGAUGGGGUGAUGCAGAAAUGUUCUUAGAAUUAUCAACAUUUGUUACUGUAGAAUAGCCAUAGUUUUUUACAUUGGGAAUACUCAUGUGCCAGAAGAAAAAGAA
ensembl:lincRNA